UACGUAGGGUCCGAGCGUUGUCCGGAAUUAUUGGGCGUAAAGGGCUCGUAGGCGGUUUGUCGCGUCGGGAGUGAAAACCAUGGGCUCAACUCAUGGCUUGCUUCCGAUACGGGCAGACUAGAGGUAUGCAGGGGAGACUGGAAUUCCUGGUGUAGCGGUGAAAUGCGCAGAUAUCAGGAGGAACACCGGUGGCGAAGGCGGGUCUCUGGGCAACAACUGACGCUGAGGAGCGAAAGCGUGGGGAGCGAACAGG
rnacentral:rRNA from 1 species